rnacentral:rRNA from 1 species
AUUGAACGCUGGCGGCAGGCCUAACACAUGCAAGUCGAACGAGUGGCGGACGGGUGAGUAAUGUCUGGGAAACUGCCUGAUGGAGGGGGAUAACUACUGGAAACGGUAGCUAAUACCGCAUACCAUCAGAUGUGCCCAGAUGGGAUUAGCUGGUUGGUGGGGUAACGGCUCACCAGGGCGACGAUCCCUAGCUGGUCCGAGAGGAUGACCAGCCACACUGGAACUGAUACACGGCCAAGACUCCUACGGAGGGCAGCAGUGGGGAAUAUUGGACAAUGGGCGAAAGCCUGAUGCAUCCAUGCCGCGUGGAUGAAGAAGGCCUUCGGGUUGUAAAGUACUUUCGGCGGGGAGGCGUUACCCGCAGAAGAAGCACCGGCUAACUCCGUGCCAGCAGCCGCGGUAAUAC